UUCUGUUUCUAUAGAUUGAAUUAUUUUAUAUACUUAUAUACAACAUGGAUUAUAACUAUAUAUAAGAUCUCUAUUUAGAGAUCUGUGUAGUUAAGUGUAGAUAUAUAUAGUUAUAGAUGUGCUAUUUUUUAAUAUGUAGUGAUAUUUAUAGACUUUACCAUUUAAAUUUAUAUGUCUAGAGUAAAAUUAAUUACAUAUAUACAUAUAUAUAUAAAGUUCUAUUUAUAAACGCAUAUAGUUUUAUUUGAAGAGGAAUACAGAUGUUCAGAGGGACAGAUUUAUGUUUGUAUAGCCUUAGGCCGCAUUUUAACCUCCUUUCCCCCUCGGCUGCCUUUUUCACCUCUUGUUUUUCCCCCUGUGCCCCCUCUGUCCCCUGUUUCCUGUGCUGGGUCCGAGCUGGCGCUGGGCCCGGUGGAGCAGCAGCUCCAGCGCCGGCUGUCCCUGGAGCGGUGGGAGCUGCCGGUGGCCCCAGGCACUGUCCCCUGAGGAGCUGCUGAAGGACGACGCUGCCCUGAAGACCUUGAGGCCAGCCAGACACUGACAGGAGCCAGCAGGGAGAAGCUGAAGGCCACAAGCAAGAGCAGUGAACAGGGAGCUGCUGCUGCCACCCCGAGAGCCUGGAUAUCCCAUCUGCUGUCCUUGUCCAGGAGAGCUGCUCUGCACGGGAGGAAGAGACCAAGGGAGAGGCUUUGAAGAUGGGGGGGCUGAGUUCCCUGUCUAAAGAUGAAUGGACUUACGCAUAAAGAGGGAUAAUUAUGUGGAUAUUUAAAU